rnacentral:rRNA from 1 species
AACGAACGCUGGCGGCGCGCCUAAUACAUGCAAGUCGAACGAGAAGGUGUAGCAAUACACUUGUACAGUGGCGAACGGGUGAGGAAUGCAUGGGCAACCUACCCUCGAGUGGGGAAUAACCAGCCGAAAGGUUGGCUAAUACCGCGUACGCUUCCGGGUCUCCGGAUCCGGAAGGAAAGUCACACCGUGGGUGUGACGCUCAAGGAUGGGCUCAUGUCCUAUCAGCUUGGGUGAGGUAACGGCUCACCAAGGCAACGACGGGUAGCUGGUCUGAGAGGACGAUCAGCCACACUGGCAC